UAAUUAGGCAUGUCUGACCUCCCAUUAUAGACGGGAACUAAGUCUUUAAAUUUUUUUCUGGGGUCCCCUUGGCCAUAAGGGGGUCCAUUUGGUCAGUGGGGGUUUUAUUUAUUUUUAGCUUACACUACUAAGUGACAUAGCUUUUCUUCUUUCAUUCUGAGGUCAGUAGUCUCUCUGCCGUGCCACAUUUUCUUCCCUGGAAGCUCAAACUGGAUGCCCAGCUCUCAAUGUACAAACUCAAAUUUCUGACAUCAUAUCUGUGGGAUCCACACAGUGGGGAAGUGCUGGCUUGGAGUCCAUGGUUUCCCCAGCUAUCAUUUUACUUAAGAAUUACAGUGUUCUCUGUUAGCAUCAAGGGAAUGAACCUGAAGAGAAAAGACAAAACAUAG
rnacentral:lncRNA from 1 species